AAAACUAAAGGGGUUGUAACUUAAGGCACUGAAGAAAGUGAUAGAAAAGACAGGAAUACAGAGAGAUAAUUGGGCAAGACAUAGGUUGUAACUUUCAUGAUUGUCAUUAUGUGUAUGUUUUCGAUGCUUUAUGGGAAUAUGUACAAAUUAAUUGUUGAGAACAUACACAAACAUAUAUACAACACAAAAUAAAACACAUACAACAGAUCCAGAAAGUGCUCAGCCAUGAGCUUCCCUUCUUGUAGCACGUGAACGUAUCAGGCCCCCAAAUGGCCCUUACAACAACUCACAACAAAUUAAACUCCUCAAGAUAACUAAUGAAUGAAAACCCCAAUUUAGCUAAGAAUAAAUAUGUUAUCACAAAUAUAUAUGUAUAAACUUAAAUCUUUCUUGAUGACAUUAUUACUUCCAAAUGUAUGUUACUUACCAUUUUAAAUGUUCAGAUGCAAAUUAACUAUAUAUCUUAAUGGGUAGUUAUCGUUUCAACUAGGCAACAAGAAGAUUGACAAAAGAAACUAUACAACACGGAGAAAAUCAAAAGAAAAUACGGAAAAGGAAAGCAUAAAGCAACUUAAGAAACCCUAGGAAAUCGACACAUAAAAUGUACAAGUACAAGCUUAAAUAGUACCUGUUGGAAUUGAAGUGUGUAGAUAAAGUUAAGUACCCUUUCCAAUGCUUCACCUUCAAUAUCUUACCCACAAAAAGCCAGCUCUUUCUCAACAAAAAGAGAAAGAAGAAACAAAACAGAUGUUAGAAUUAGGUAGUUAGAUUACCAUAUAUAUAUAUAUAUAUCGGGGAUAUGCUUGGCUCCUCAUACGCCAUUCACGGGGACCCAACGGUAUUCCGAUGAGCUCUGCAAAUGGCAUACAGGGAGCCAGGCAUAUGCAGAUCACAUGUAUGUAACCUACAUAUAACAUAGAACUUACGUUUAAACUUCUUAUAUAACUGGUAGUAACUUGUAAAACAGCCCGAAUAAUUAUCUAAGUAAAAGAAAGAAAGCAUGGCUGAACUGAAAAAUUAUCUGCCCGUGAUCAUUGUCAACAAGAAUCAACAAGAUAUCCAAAGAAUUUUAGCUAAGAAGUAAGAAAAAGGAAAUAGAGAUUGAGAUACAAAGAAGAUCGAGGCAAGCUAAGAUGGUUUAUAUUUUAGGAGAGAAAAGAGAGAUUUGGGUUGAUCAAACUGGGGUCCUAAUCAGCUGGAUCUUUUAGCCCCACCGGCAAAACAUAUUUACACGACCAUAAGACCAAAAGCUAUGGAUGUUUCUUCUAUAUACUCUCUUUCUGUUUUCAUAAAUUAAUUCAUUCAAGUAGAAGGAUAGACAACGAUAGGAAUGAUGAAAACAAGCUGUUUAUAAGCACAAAACAGCAAAAUAAUCAAACAGAAAAAGAAGGGCUGUGAAGAAAUCAAGAAAGAAGUGUUCUUGUUGUUCUUAAUUUGUAGGGUUGCCCUUUUUCUUUUCUUCGAAAGACAAAAAGCAAAGAAGUUUUUCU
rnacentral:lncRNA from 1 species